AAAACGACUCUCGGCAACGGAUAUCUCGGCUCUCGCAUCGAUGAAAAACGUAGCGAAAUGCGAUACUUGGUGUGAAUUGCAGAAUCCCGUGAACCAUCGAGUCUUUGAACGCAAGUUGCGCCCGAAGCCUUUAGGCCGAGGGCACGCCUGCCUGGGCGUCACA
rnacentral:rRNA from 1 species